GUGAAUCAUCAAAUCUUUGAACGCAAAUGGCACUCUCCGGUUUUCCGGGAGAGUAUGCCUGUUUGAGGGUCAGACUAAAAAAAAUCGACAUUGUUGCUGUUUUAUGGUGACUUUCGUGGGAGAUGGGUUAUGUUAAUUCACGGUUUAAGCGAGUUAAAGAUUUUUUUUACGCUUCUAAGAGUGUUUAUUAGAUUUUUCUUGUAAGUUUAAGGUAUCGACUGUCUUAUUAGACGUGGCCGUCAUAUGGGAUAGUGUUGAUAAUUUUUUUCGUGAACUGUCCUUAGACAGU
rnacentral:misc_RNA from 1 species